AUUGAACGCUGGCGGCAGGCUUAACACAUGCAAGUCGAGCGGGGUGAUGGUGCUUGCACUAUCACUUAGCGGCGGACGGGUGAGUAAUGCUUAGGAAUCUGCCUAUUAGUGGGGGACAACAUCUCGAAAGGGAUGCUAAUACCGCAUACGUCCUACGGGAGAAAGCAGGGGAUCACUUGUGACCUUGCGCUAAUAGAUGAGCCUAAGUCGGAUUAGCUAGUUGGUGGGGUAAAGGCCUACCAAGGCGACGAUCUGUAGCGGGUCUGAGAGGAUGAUCCGCCACACUGGGAAUGAGACACGGCCCAGACUCCUACGGGAUGGAGCAGUGGGGAAUAUUGGACAAUGGGGGGAACCCUGAUCCAGCCAUGCCGCGUGUGUGAAGAAGGCCUUAUGGUUGUAAAGCACUUUAAGCGAGGAGGAGGCUCUUUUGGUUAAUACCCAAGAUGAGUGGACGUUACUCGCAGAAUAAGCACCGGCUAACUCUGUGCCAGCAGCCGCCGUAAAAC
rnacentral:rRNA from 1 species